rnacentral:rRNA from 1 species
UACGUAGGGGGCGAGCGUUGUCCGGAGUUACUGGGCGUAAAGCGUGCGCAGGCGGCUAUGCAAGACAGAUGUGAAAUCCCCGGGCUCAACCUGGGAACUGCAUUUGUGACUGCAUGGCUAGAGUACGGUAGAGGGGGAUGGAAUUCCGCGUGUAGCAGUGAAAUGCGUAGAUAUGCGGAGGAACACCGAUGGCGAAGGCAAUCCCCUGGACCUGUACUGACGCUCAUGCACGAAAGCGUGGGGAGCAAACAGG